AGUGAACGCUGGCGGUAGGCCUAACACAUGCAAGUCGAACGGCAGCACAGUAAGAGCUUGCUCUUACGGGUGGCGAGUGGCGGACGGGUGAGGAAUACAUCGGACUCUACUUUUUCGGGGGGGAUAACGUAGGGAAACUUACGCUAAUACCGCAUACGACCUACGGGUGAAAGCAGGGGAUCUUCGGACCUUGCGCGAAUGAAUGAGCCGCUGCCGGAUUGGCUGGUUGGCGGGGUAAAGGCCCACCAGGUCGACGAUCCGUAGCUGGACUGAGAGGAUGAUCGCCGGCACUGGAACGGGGCCAGGGACCAGACUACUAAGGGAGGCAGCAGAGGGGAAUAGUGGGCAAUGGGCGCAAGCAUGAUCCAGCCGUACCGCGUCUGUGAAGAAGGCCUUGGGGUUGUAAUGCCCGUCUUUUGGGAAAGAAAAGCAGCCGGUUAAGACCCCGCGGUUCUGACGGUACCCAAAGAAUAAGCACCGGCUAACUUCGUG
rnacentral:rRNA from 1 species